GAUGAACGCUAGCGAUAGGCCUAACACAUGCAAGUCGAGGGGCAUCACAUGAAGUAGCAAUACGGAUGGUGGCGACCGGCGCACGGGUGAGUAACACGUAUGCAACCUGCCUUCAACAAGGGGAUAACCCGUUGAAAGACGGACUAAUACCCUAUAACACAGGGGUCCCGCAUGGGAAUAUUUGUUAAAGGACAACCGGUUGAAGAUGGGCAUGCGUUCCAUUAGCUAGUUGGCGGGUAACGGCCCACCAAGGCAACGAUGGAUAGGGGAACUGAGAGGUUUAUCCCCCACACUGGUACUGAGACACGGACCAGACUCCUACGGGAGGCAGCAGUGAGGAAUAUUGGUCAAUGGACGCAAGUCUGAACCAGCCACGUCGCGUGAAGGAAGACGGCCCUACGGGUUGUAAACUUCUUUUAUACGGGAAUAAAGUGCCCCACGCGUGGGGUUUUGCAUGUACCGUAUGAAUAAGGAUCGGCUAACUCCGUGCCAGCAGCC
rnacentral:rRNA from 1 species